UGACUUAUCAGAGCAGGAAACAGAAACAGGAGCGACCAGGUGAAACAAGUGACAACGGGUUUCCCAGUGAACCAGAACUUCAGCAGGAACCUGAAACCAGCUCACCUCAGAGGAAUGCAGUGUAUGCCAGGUCCUCGAACGUGGGGCCCAGAACCGAGAUGCUCAUCCCCUGAAACAAAACAAGAGAGAGUGGAGUCACUGCACAGAUCUCCCUCCACCCCUCACAGCUUCCUCAAAGCAAAUUGAGGAAGAAGCAUAACCGCCACAGAAGAAAGCAGGUACACAAGCCACAGGUGUACACUGAUGGACUUCAUUAAUCUGAUCUGGUGGGUUGAAGAGCAAGUUUUCCAGCCAUGUAAAUCCUGUCUGUACAGGAUGUUACAACAUCACCUUUAAUACAUUAACAACUCACUGGUUUUAAGUUUUAAAGGCUUGACUGAAUACAUUUUGCAUUUUAGGUCUUUUCUAAACACCUAGUAGGCUUAGACCUUAAACCACACAAACAGCUGAAUUAAUGCAUUCUUUUUUCAUGCAAUCAUCUGACUUCACAAAGAUUAUAAACUAAUUCCUUGAGCAUAAACAGGUGUUUGUUUUGCCAGCUGGAGAUUUGAAUUAUUACACAGCUCGUAGUUGUUAAGUGAGGGACAUGUCUGCAGCUGUUAGUAAACUCCUCAGUCUCUGUGUUAGAUUACCAAGCCCAGGAAAGAUGCACAGAGAGCCAGGGUGACCAUCCAGCGCCCACACGCUCCUCCUCCUCCUCCUCCUCCUCCUCCUCCGACCACCUCCACCCGGGCGUCGCAUCCCGCUUUGCUCGACCUCUUGGCCGCCUUCAGCACACUCCUGAGCCCCCUCCCGGUGUCCUUCCUCUUGUCAAACAGGGUGUCCUCCUCCUCCUCCUCCUGCUCGUCGUUGUCGUCGACGUCGUCUUCGUCCUCCUCCAUGCUGGCGAACCGAACGUGUUUCUUUUUCACGGCGGAGGAAGACAUACCUGUCACUACCUUUAUCACCUGUCUCACUACCUGUCUCACUACCUGUAUCACUACCUGUCUCACUACCUGUAUCACUACCUGUAUCACUACCUGUCUCACUACCUGUAUCACUCCUACGUCUGUUGCAGCUGCAGGUUUGGGUGUUGCGCCGUCAGACUGCCUCCAGCCCGACGACAAAUGACAACUGUCAGCGCUUUAAUUGGCCUCCUGCCGUCCUGUUCACGCUUCCUGUUUGUAGUUUUAGCGGCUGAGGCGUUCAAAGGAAGUCGGUCAUCAUUAAAGCACCUGGACGGUUCAGGUAGAGAGAGGGUACCAGCCGCUGCAGCCGCGGAGACCCUCCAUAUGCUAACAGCGACUGUAUGACUGCUUGACGUUUGCAAAGAUCGUCUAUUAACCAGAAAGCUCACUCGGUGUAUCAAGGGGAGUCAGUAAUAAAGAAUCAGGGACUUAGCCUGGGGUGGCUGAAUCAGGGCCCCUGACUUCUGCAGGGGAGACAGGAAGUGAUAGGAAUGGACACAGUCACAUGAAUGAAAAGCAUUUACUCUUUCUAUCUCCAAAAUAAAGUGACAAAACGUAUUAGUUUGCUGGUUUUGUAUUGAUAGUAUUGGUGAUGGUACACUGUACAUAGUUCUAUUAUGGUGAUGGGAAUAUGAAUUAUUGGUGUAAUUAAUUACAUAUUUAGAUUAUUAGAUAAUGGCAUACAAGUAAUUAUUUUAUAUUAUAUUAUAUUAUAUCAUAUUAUAUAGCCUACUAUUGUAUAAUUAAUACCUAUUACACUGAGUUAAAAGCGGUAGGAUUAGAUACAUUUUUACUUCUUCCUACUCCUUUCCAGGCAUGUAAGAGCAAAUAAAGGACGAUGAAUUUUC